rnacentral:rRNA from 1 species
UCCUGGCUCAGGAUGAACGCUAGCUACAGGCUUAACACAUGCAAGUCGAGGGGAAACGACAUCGAAAGCUUGCUUUUGAUGGGCGUCGACCGGCGCACGGGUGAGUAACGCGUAUCCAACCUGCCCACCACUUGGGGAUAACCUUGCGAAAGUAAGACUAAUACCCAAUGACGUCUCUAGAAGACAUCUGAAAGAGAUUAAAGAUUUAUCGGUGAUGGAUGGGGAUGCGUCUGAUUAGCUUGUUGGGGGGGGUAACGGCCCACCAAGGCGACGAUCAGUAGGGGUUCUGAGAGGAAGGUCCCCCACAUUGGAACUGAGACACGGUCCAAACUCCUACGGGAGGCAGCAGUGAGGAAUAUUGGUCAAUGGGCGAGAGCCUGAACCAGCCAAGUAGCGUGCAGGAUGACGGCCCUAUGGGUUGUAAACUGCUUUUAUAAGGGAAUAAAGUGAGUCUCGUGAGACUUUUUGCAUGUACCUUAUGAAUAAGGACCGGCUAAUUCCGUGCCAGCAGCCGCGGUAAUACGGAAGGUCCGGGCGUUAUCCGGAUUUAUUGGGUUUAAAGGGAGCGUAGGCCGGAGAUUAAGCGUGUUGUGAAAUGUAGACGCUCAACGUCUGCACUGCAGCGCGAACUGGUUUCCUUGAGUACGCACAAAGUGGGCGGAAUUCGUGGUGUAGCGGUGAAAUGCUUAGAUAUCACGAAGAACUCCGAUUGCGAAGGCAGCUCACUGGAGCGCAACUGACGCUGAAGCUCGAAAGUGCGGGUAUCGAACAGGAUUAGAUACCCUGGUAGUCCGCACGGUAAACGAUGGAUGCCCGCUGUUGGUCUGAAUAGGUCAGCGGCCAAGCGAAAGCAUUAAGCAUCCCACCUGGGGAGUACGCCGGCAACGGUGAAACUCAAAGGAAUUGACGG